AUGGAAAAGAAAUGCAAAAAAGCAAAAUGGCUGUCUGAGGAGGCCUUACAAAUAGCUGUGAAAAGAAGCAAAGCGAAAAGCAAAGGAGAAAAGGAAAUAUAUAAGCAUCUGAACGCAGAGUUCCAAGGAAUAGCAAGAAGAGAUAAGAAAGCCUUCCUCAGCGAUCAAUGCAAAGAAAUAGAGGAAAACAACAGAAUGGGAAAGACUAGGGAUCUCUUCAAGAAAACUAGAGAUACCAAAGGAACAUUUCAUGCAAACAUGGGCUCAAUAAAGGACAGAGAUGGUAUGGACCUAACAGAAGCAGAAGAUAUUAAGAAGAGGUGGCAAGAAUACACAGAACUGUACAAAAAAGAUCUUCAUGACGCAGAUAAUCACGAUGGUAUGAUCACUCACCUAGAGCCAGACAUCCUGGAAUGUGAAGUCAAGUGGGCCUUAGGAAGCAUCACUACGAACAAAGCUAGUGGAGGUGAUGGAAUUCCAGUUGAGCUAUUUCAAAUCCUGAAAGAUGAUGCUGGGAAAGUGCUGCACUCAAUAUGCCAGCAAAUUUGGAAAAAUCAGCAGGGGCCACAGGACUGGAAAGUGUCAGUUUUCAUUCCAAUCCCAAAGAAAGGCAAUGCCAAAGAAUGCUCAAACUACCGCACAAUUGCACUCAUCUCACACGCUAGUAAAGGAAUGCUCAAAAUUCUCCAAGCCAGGCUUCAGCAGUACAUGAACCGUGAACUUCCAGAUGUUCAAGCUGGUUUUAGAAAAGGCAGAGGAACAAGAGAUCAAAUUGCCAACAUCCGCUGGAUCAUCGAAAAAGCAAGAGAGUUCCAGAAAAACAUCUAUUUCUGCUUUAUUGACUAUGCCAAAGCCUUUGACUGUGUGGAUCACAAUAAACUGUGGAAAAUUCUGAAAGAGAUGGGAAUGCCAGACCACCUGACCUGCCUCUUGGAAACCUAUAUGCAGGUCAGGAAGCAACAGUUAGAACUGGAUAUGGAACAACAGACUGGUUCCAAGUAG
rnacentral:lncRNA from 1 species